UACGUAGGGGGCUAGCGUUGUCCGGAAUCAUUGGGCGUAAAGCGUGUGUAGGCGGGUCGUUAAGUGUCUUGUGAAAUCCCACCGCUCAACGGUGGAACUGCUGGGCAUACUGGCGAUCUUGAGCCACCUAGGGGCGAGCGGAACAAGCGGUGGAGCGGUGAAAUGCGUAGAUAUCGCUUGGAACGCCGACGGUGAAAACAGCUCGCUGGGGGUGUGCUGACGCUGAGACACGAAAGCCAGGGGAGCGAACGGG
rnacentral:rRNA from 1 species